rnacentral:rRNA from 1 species
UACGAAGGGGGCUAGCGUUGCUCGGAAUUAUUGGGCGUAAAGGGCGCGUAGGCGGCGUGUCAAGUCAGGCGUGAAAGCCCCGGGCUCAACCUGGGAACCGCGCUUGAGACUGGCAUGCUCGAGUUCGGGAGAGGAUGGUGGAAUUCCCAGUGUAGAGGUGAAAUUCGUAGAUAUUGGGAAGAACACCGAUGGCGAAGGCAGCCAUCUGGACCGACACUGACGCUGAGGCGCGAAAGCGUGGGGAGCAAACAGG